UCCUCCGUGGCGCAAUUGGCUAGCGCGUCGUGAGUUCUUCCCCCAUCCCUUGACACCAUCGUGAGGGUUGUCGGUGUAUACUAACCAUAUUCGUAUAGUGACUGUUAAUCAGGAGGUUGACAGUUCAAGCCUGUCCGGGGGAG